rnacentral:rRNA from 1 species
GACGAACGCUGGCGGCGUGCUUAACACAUGCUAGUCGAACGCGCCUGUCCUCUGGGUUUCUGGGAGGUGGGUGAGUUGCGAACGGGUGAGUAACACGUGAGUAACCUGCCCCCUUCUUCGGGAUAACGGUCUGAAAGGGCUGCGAAUACCGGGUAUUCACUGGUCUCCGCAUGGGGUGUGGUGGAAAGGUUUGUUUCUGGUUGGGCAUGGGCUCGCGGCCUAUCAGCUUGUUGGUGGGGUGAUGGCCCGCCAAGGCUUUGACGGGUAGCCGGCCUGAGAGGGCAACUAGUCUGCUUGGGACUGAGAUACGGCCCAGACUCCUACGGGAGGCCGAAGUGGGGAAUAUUGCACAAUGGGCGCAAGCCUGAUGCAGCGACGCCGCGUGAGGAAUGGAGGCUUUCGGGUGGUGAACCUCUCUCGCCCGUGCUCAAGCCGCGACGUCGGUCGUCGUGAGGGUAGUUGGUAAAGCAGCGCCGGCUAACUACAU